GAUGAACGCUAGCGGCAGGCUUAACACAUGCAAGUCGAGGGGUAACAGAGAGUGCUUGCACUUUGCUGACGACCGGCGCACGGGUGCGUAACGCGUAUACAAUCUACCUCUUACUGAGGGAUAGCCCAGAGAAAUUUGGAUUAAUACCUCAUAGUAUGUUAGAGUGGCAUCACUUUAAUAUUAAAGGUUACGGUAAGAGAUGAGUAUGCGUUCUAUUAGCUAGUAGGUAUGGUAACGGCAUACCUAGGCAACGAUAGAUAGGGGCCCUGAGAGGGGGAUCCCCCACACUGGUACUGAGACACGGACCAGACUCCUACGGGAGGCAGCAGUGAGGAAUAUUGGUCAAUGGGCGCAAGCCUGAACCAGCCAUGCCGCGUGCAGGAAGACUGCCCUAUGGGUUGUAAACUGCUUUUAUACAGGAAGAAACACUCCCUCGUGAGGGAGCUUGACGGUACUGUAAGAAUAAGGAUCGGCUAACUCCG
rnacentral:rRNA from 1 species